rnacentral:rRNA from 1 species
GGCUCAGAAUUAACGCUAGCGACAGGCUUAACACAUGCAAGUCGAGGGGCAGCGUGUGGUGAAGGCUUGCCUUUACCAGCCGGCGACCGGCGCACGGGUGAGUAACACGUAUGCAACCUGCCUGCCACAGCCGGAUAAUCGGGAGAAAUUCCGUCUAAUACGGCAUAAUGCAUCGACGGGACAUCCUGUUGGUGCCAAAGGUUGAUUCCGGUGGCGGAUGGGCAUGCGUCGCAUUAGUUAGUUGGCGGUGUAACGGACCACCAAGACGACGAUGCGUAGGGGUUCUGAGAGGAAGGUCCCCCACACUGGUACUGAGACACGGACCAGACUCCUACGGGAGGCAGCAGUGAGGAAUAUUGGUCAAUGGGCGGGAGCCUGAACCAGCCAAGUCGCGUGAGGGAUGACGGCCCUAUGGGUUGUAAACCUCUUUUGCCGGGGAGCAAAGUGCCGCACGUGUGCGGUUUGGAGAGUACCCGGAGAAAAAGCAUCGGCUAACUCCGUGCCAGCAGCCGCGGUAAUACGGAGGAUGCGAGCGUUAUCCGGAUUUAUUGGGUUUAAAGGGUGCGUAGGCGGACGCUUAAGUCAGCGGUAAAAUUGCGGGGCUCAACCUCGUCGAGCCGUUGAAACUGGGUGCCUUGAGUGGGCGAGAAGUACGCGGAAUGCGUGGUGUAGCGGUGAAAUGCAUAGAUAUCACGCAGAACUCCGAUUGCGAAGGCAGCGUACCGGCGCCCAACUGACGCUGAAGCACGAAGGCGUGGGUAUCGAACAGGAUUAGAUACCCUGGUAGUCCACGCAGUAAACGAUGAAUGCUAGUUGUCCGGGGCGAUUGAGUUCUGGGUGACACAGCGAAAGCGUAAGCUUUCCACCUGGGGAGUACGCCGGCAACGGUGAAACUCAAAGGAAUUGACGGGGGCCCGCACAAGCGGAGGAACAUGUGGUUUAAUUCGAUGAUACGCGAGGAACCUUACCCGGGCUCAAACGCAGGAGAGAUGUUUUUGAAAGGAGGCAGCCAGCAAUGGUCUCCUGCGAGGUGCUGCAUGGUUGUCGUCAGCUCGUGCCGUGAGGUGUCGGCUUAAGUGCCAUAACGAGCGCAACCCCUACCUACAGUUGCCAUCGCGUGAUGGCGGGCACUCUGAGGGGACUGCCUGCGCAAGCAGUGAGGAAGGCGGGGAUGACGUCAAAUCAGCACGGCCCUUACGUCCGGGGCGACACACGUGUUACAAUGGCGGUACAGCGGGAAGCCACCCGGCGACGGGGCGCGGAACCCGAAAACCUGUCUCAGUUCGGAUUGGAGUCUGCAACCCGACUCCAUGAAGCUGGAUUCGCUAGUAAUCGCGCAUCAGCCACGGCGCGGUGAAUACGUUCCCGGGCCUUGUACACACCGCCCGUCAAGCCAUGGAAGCCGGGGGUGCCUGAAGUGCGUGACCGCAAGGAGCGCCCUAGGGUAAAACCGGUGACUGGGGCUAAGUCGUAACAAGGUA